CCCCUAAGUGAAACACGGGUUCCCGUACGAUCGCUUAAGUUAAGCAGCGUUGUCCCUUAUCAGUACCUAGAUGGGCAACCACUUGGGAAUACAAGGUGCU